UGGAAGUAAAAGUCGUAACAAGGUCUCCGUUGGUGAACCAGCGGAGGGAUCAUUACCGAGUUUACAACUCCCAAACCCAAUGUGAACGUUACCAAACUGUUGCCUCGGCGGGAUCUCUGCCCCGGGUGCGUCGCAGCCCCGGACCAAGGCGCCCGCCGGAGGACCAACCUAAAACUCUUAUUGUAUACCCCCUCGCGGGUUUUUUUAUAAUCUGAGCCUUCUCGGCGCCUCUCGUAGGCGUUUCGAAAAUGAAUCAAAACUUUCAACAACGGAUCUCUUGGUUCUGGCAUCGAUGAAGAACGCAGCGAAAUGCGAUAAGUAAUGUGAAUUGCAGAAUUCAGUGAAUCAUCGAAUCUUUGAACGCACAUUGCGCCCGCCAGUAUUCUGGCGGGCAUGCCUGUCCGAGCGUCAUUUCAACCCUCGAACCCCUCCGGGGGGUCGGCGUUGGGGAUCGGCCCUCCCUUAGCGGGUGGCCGUCUCCGAAAUACAGUGGCGGUCUCGCCGCAGCCUCUCCUGCGCAGUAGUUUGCACACUCGCAUCGGGAGCGCGGCGCGUCCACAGCCGUUAAACACCCAACUUCUGAAAUGUUGACCUCGGAUCAGGUAGGAAUACCCGCUGAACUUAAGCAUAUCAAUAAGCGGAGGAA
rnacentral:rRNA from 2 species